AUUCACCAUCGUCUUCUAAAAUCAGAAAAAUGUUAUAAUACUUGCAAAAACUCUUCUCUAUUGUUCUCUAAUAUGAAUUCACUUACUGUGGGUGAAUUUACUUCCGGAAGUGACUUUUGUCAGACCCAAGCAGUCCAACAUUGUAAAUGUUAUAAGCUCUCACUGACAAUGCAGAUCUGUCCUGGCUGACUCACUGAGUCGUUCUGACCCCCUCUGCAGGACACCAUUCAUAGAGAAUCACCUCUGGCAACCAGAACAACAGGCCACUUUAAAUGUGAAAAGCUCUCCCUGUUUGAGUCAGAUGGUUCUACCCUGAGGUGUUUACUACACCAGCACAUGGCCAACAGGAAUCACAACACUUCCUAUUUCAGUGACAGAGGACAGCAGAUUCCAGUCGACGUAUUUUCUCUAGAGCCUUGGCUGUUUUCAUCCUAAUUAGGAGUGCCAUGGUGUGAUUGAGUGGGACAGAAUGCCCGCUUCAAUCGCUGUUACUCCGAAUGAUGUGGCUGUUAACGUCCUUCUGAGUUACGCCACUGUUAUCCGCAGGCUUGCACAACAAGCUCUCCCCGCCCCUCACGAGGUGACCUCUUACACAUCUAGUAUGAACACAGCUGUCUGAAAUUAUGAACCGGUGCUCUGCUAGGCUUCAAAAGUAGAAAAAGGUGGCUUUUGUCUACAUGAUUUUGUGCAUUUUAAGUUACCGUGCCUGCUUUCACAAGUGCUGCAAUGUUCUUGUGUCCUGCAAGGAAGGUGGGAGAGAACAAGUCUCUCUUCCUGAUCUAGCCACUCAAAGCCCACCUUCUGCCCUCCCUCCCUUUUUUUUUUGUUGCUGUUAGCCCCUUCUCGGGAAUGUUCCUCUCCAGGCCAGGGAGAAGUCACUACAAUGGAAUGCAGAGCACGGCCUCUCCAAAAAGCACUGUUGACUUUAAAAGGCCAGAAUAUGAAAGCAAACACUCCAGUUCCAAUUUCACUCGAGUUUGUUCCAUGUGUUCACUUUUGGGCUUCAGAUCGAGAAAUGUGGUUUAAACACCAGAUAAAUCUCC